UACGUAGGGGGCAAGCGUUGUCCGGAUUUACUGGGCGUAAAGGGCGUGCAGGCGGUCUGUUAAGUGCAGGGUGAAAGCUCCCGGCUCAACUGGGAGAGGUCCUUGCAUACUGGCGGACUUGAGGGGGGUAGAGGAAAGUGGAAUUCCCGGUGUAGUGGUGAUAUGCGUAGAUAUCGGGAGGAACACCUGUGGCGAAGGCGGCUUUCUGGGCCCUACCUGGCGCUGAGACGCGAAAGCGUGGGGAGCGAACCGG
rnacentral:rRNA from 1 species